ACCUGUUUUGUUGCUGGUCAUCUAUCUACCCGUGCUUGCCUUGCCUUGCCUGCUCAGCUCCUCUCCUGGAGAGUCACUGGCAGUGCAGAGUGAAGAUGCAGUGCGGCCGCCGUCUUGGCUUGGGCACGCGUGGUUAGAUGACCAUCAGCAAACAAGUU
rnacentral:pre_miRNA from 1 species